UGGUGAACCAGCGGAGGGAUCAUUACCGAGUUUACAACUCCCAAACCCCUGUGAACAUACCUAUAACUGUUGCUUCGGCGGGACCGCCCCGGCGCCCACUCGGGCCCGGACCCAGGCGCCCGCCGGAGGCCCCAAACUCUUUGUUUUUACGUUGUGUAUCUUCUGAGUUAUACAAGCAAAUAAAUCAAAACUUUCAACAACGGAUCUCUUGGUUCUGG
rnacentral:rRNA from 1 species